UACGAAGGGGGCUAGCGUUGUUCGGAAUCACUGGGCGUAAAGCGCACGUAGGCGGUUCUUUAAGUCAGGGGUGAAAUCCCGAGGCUCAACCUCGGAACUGCCUUUGAUACUGGGGAUCUCGAGUCCGGGAGAGGUGAGUGGAACUGCGAGUGUAGAGGUGAAAUUCGUAGAUAUUCGCAAGAACACCAGUGGCGAAGGCGGCUCACUGGCCCGGAACUGACGCUGAGGUGCGAAAGCUAGGGUAGCAAACGGG
rnacentral:rRNA from 1 species